UGCAGAACGUAUAAAAACACAUGAAAAAUGAUCACAACAGUACUUGGCACAUAGGAAGUACUCCGUAAAUGUUGGCUGAUCCACCACAAAAAAAAAAAAAGAAAGAAACCAACAACAAAAAAAAGAAUGAGAUCUUGUCAUUUGCAACAACGUGGAUGGAGCUGGAGGACAUUUAGUGAAAUAUGCCAGGACUCAGGCUUAUUGCUGUUUAUUUGUGGGACCCUGCUCUUUUGCUUGGAAACCAAGCAACCAGACUCUUCACUAAACCAACACCAACAGAUGAAGUUAGAAGGCUUGAAGCUCUUCCUCAGCCCCAGGCCUUUCUUCUUCUUCUUUUUUUUCCCCCCAGCAUUUGUGGAAUGUAAAGUUGACCAGAUGAACCAAAAUAAAUUUGUUUACCUGGCUUCUUAUGCUCAAGUGAACACCUUGUUCAUGCCUGUGAAACAUUACAAUCAAACUAGAGGGGCAACAAAGCUCCACAGCUCUGCACUCAGAAGGUUGGCUUUGUCCUGAGCUCUUAAGGUAAUAAGAUGUCCGAAUGCUGCCACAGUGCAUAAACCCAUGCUGCUUCCUUUUGCACUGUGUCCUUUGCAAGGACCAGAGAGCUCCUCAAACUCACCAGGAAGUACUGAGGAAUUUAGUGUUGCGUGCACUAACAGAUUCUUAGCAGGAAAUUAGAAGCGGUGAGUAAACUGCUUUUUGGUGAGUCAUCAGUUUCAAAAACACACCUUAUUUAUGAAACAAUCUGAAUAUUGGACGUACUAUGACUUCCUUCUAUUAAACACGGAAUUAAAAGACUAUUAAAUGCAUUCAUCUGUUUGGAUUCAGAUUUUCUCCAAAAUCAAUGUGCUCAUGGAAUCAUUGAUGUCUACCGGUUGCCUCACCUACUAGUGUCUGCUAAAGUGUUUUUGGUCUAAUGAGACAAUGUAGGGUUUCCUUUGGUUCUGAGGGCCAUACCUUGGCCCUAGGAAGUUGUUGGGCUGCAGUGACACAAUGAGCCAAAGGUGGAUAACAGAGCUUCCAUCUCAGCUUCAAGCCCUCACCACCUUAAACUCCACACUAGUUGGUCAUUUCAACUGUUUCCACCCAAUUCCAUGGCCACUUUCUUGCUCUAGUGAUUAGUAGAUUAUUAAUUCCAUUUUAUAAACACAUUCUUACUAGGAUGUCAGUGAAUUACUUUAAACACUUGUAAUUUAAUAUAGACAAUAGGAAAGGGGUGGCACUGAACUGAGAAGAUGGCAUCUCUCAUCUUAAAACUUUAGACAUUGGACCUACUGAGUAAGAGUAUGUAUGUCUGGAAGUCUUUAUCCUUUCGGAAUUGAAAUUUGGUCUACAGUUAUAAUUGGUGGACUGUGAAACAGGCAAAACCCUACAGAAAACAAGCAGAAGGAGAAUGGAAUUAACUCGACUAGAUUAUGAGAUUAGCUUUUUUCCACCCAGGCUGAUGGGGGACAAAGGAACAAUGGUUGAAGCUUGAGUCUACCUGACAAUUGGGGUUUGUCAGGUAAGCCCCAUUCUCUUGAUAACUUUUUCAGUGGGCUAGACCCAGACCCAAUCAUGUUAAGUAUGAUAGGGAUCAGUGGCCCAGCUGGUGUGGAAGACAAGUGGGUCAUACUGGGUUUAGGCCCACAUAGCACUAAAGGUCUUCAACAUGCAAUUAGAAGCUCAAAUGUUGACGGGAAUAUUGUUCACUCUAAAAAAGAUGUUUCUAUUAGAAUUUACUUACUCUUUCAUGAAAACAUAGAUGCUUCCUCUUUCCUGAUUGUGAGAACAGUGUACCUGACUAGCUUCCCCUUUUCUUUAACUGUUAGGAAGUUCUGUCCUAGAGAUAAGUUUCAAAUUUAUGAAACAAUAAUUUCAGGGAUUAUUA
rnacentral:lncRNA from 10 species